rnacentral:rRNA from 1 species
AAGAUUAAACUGAAGAGUUUGAUCAUGGCUCAGAUUGAACGCUGGCGGCAGGCCUAACACAUGCAAGUCGAGCGCGAAAACACUUCGGUGUGAGUAGAGCGGCGGACGGGUGAGUAAUGCUUGGGAAUCUACCUAGUAGUGGGGGAUAACGUGUGGAAACGCACGCUAAUACCGCAUACGUCCUACGGGAGAAAGCGGGGGAUCUUCGGACCUUGCGCUAUUAGAUGAGCCCAAGUCGGAUUAGCUAGUUGGUGGGGUAAUGGCUCACCAAGGCUACGAUCCGUAGCUGGUCUGAGAGGAUGAUCAGCCACACUGGGA